GCCUGGCUGCCUCAGCUGGAAGAGCAUGAGACUCUUGAUCUCAGGGUUGUGAGUUCAAGCCCCACGUUGGGUU
rfam:Felis catus isolate Cinnamon breed Abyssinian chromosome A2, whole genome shotgun sequence.